UACGGAGGGUGCAAGCGUUAUCCGGAUUCACUGGGUUUAAAGGGUGCGUAGGAGGGCAGGUAAGUCAGUGGUGAAAUCCCCGAGCUUAACUUGGGAACUGCCGUUGAUACUAUCUGUCUUGGAUGCUGUGGAGGUGAGCGGAAUAUGUCAUGUAGCGGUGAAAUGCUUAGAUAUGACAUAGAACACCAAUUGCGAAGGCAGCUCGCUACACAGUUAUUGACUCUGAGGCACGAAAGCGUGGGGAUCAAACAGG
rnacentral:rRNA from 1 species